GGGAGCGACUUGGCUUCGACAGGAGUAAGUCUGCUUAGAUGGCAUGUCGCUUUGGGCAAAGCGUAAAAAGCCCAAAUAAAAUUAAACGCAAAUAACGUUAAAUUUGCUCCUGCUUACGCUAAAGCUGCGUAAGUUCAGUUGAGCCUGAAAUUUAAGUCAUACUAUCUAGCUUAAUUUUCGGUCAUUUUUGAUAGUGUAGCCUUGCGUUUGACAAACGUUGAGGUGAAAUAAAGUCUUAGCCUUGCUUUUGAGUUUUGGAAGAUGAGCGAAGUAGGGUGAAGUAGUCAUCUUUGCUAAGCAUGUAGAGGUCUUUGUGGGAUUAUUUUUGGACAGGGGUUCGAUUCCCCUCGCUUCCACCA
rnacentral:tmRNA from 1 species